rnacentral:lncRNA from 1 species
CCCGGGCCUGUCAGGACUAAGUUACACUUUUUCUUUGAAAUCCCAUCCGUGCGGGCCCCGUAUAUCCUCUUCAGGCAGCCCUAGAAUUCCCUACUCGGAGCCUAUCUGAAGGAAGGCGUAGUGGUGUGUAUAUAUGGACAAGGCCCGGAAUGUCACAAUUUAUAUACAGUUGUGCACCAUUAGUUUCUGAUCAUGUCUUUUCAGAUUGUGAGUGGAGCAUCUUCCAUUUCACUCAUCUCUUUGGAGCAUAGAGUCAGGGAGGGGGGUCCUUGGGGUACAGUACAAAGAACUGGAUCUGGAACCUAGUUUAACAAAUUCUGGCUUUGCUUAAUUACCCGUGUGACUUUGGGAAAAGUCAGGUCACAUCGUCUUUUUGAGUCUCAAUUUCCUAUGCAAAAGGAGAGAACUAAGUGAUCGCAGAACUGAAAACUGGAAGGGCUGAAGUGAGCGAGAAGGUUUGGAGCUACAUUAGAUGACCAGCUGAAUGUUGGGACAAAGUGUAGAAUCAGAUAAAGAAACUGAGAUGCAGAAGGAUUUAGUGACAUACUCGGAGUUGUACCAACUACUAAGAAUUGGAACUGGAACUUCAACCCAGGUUUGCUUCUGACUUUAGGUUCAGUGCUAU